GACGAACGCUGGCGGCGUGGAUUAGGCAUGCAAGUCGAACGGUAUCAUCCUUUCGGGGGUGAGAGAGUGGCGAACUGGUGAGUAACACGUAGGUUAUCUACCCUCAAGACGGGGACAACCCAGGGAAACUUGGGCUAAUACCGGAUGUGAGCAACUUUUAGUGUUUGAAAGGUGGCGUAAGCUGUCGCUUGGGGAUGAGCCUGCGUCCUAUUAGUUAGUUGGUGAGGUAACGGCUCACCUAGGCAAUGAUAGGUAGGCGGCCUUAACGGGUGGUCGCCCACACUGGGAUUGAGAUACGGCCCAGGACUCCUACGGGAGGCAGCAGUCGAGAAUAGUCUACAAUGGUCGGAAGACUGAUAGUGCGACGCCGCGUGAACGAUGAAUCCCUUCGGGGUGUAAAGUUCUUUUAUAUGUGAGCAGUGCUUCUUAUAUUUAACAGUAUGGGGAGAGAGAUAUUAGCAUAUGAAUAAGCAACGGCUAAACUCCGUGCCCAGCAGCCGCGGU
rnacentral:rRNA from 1 species